GAAAGAUUCAGAGAUUUCAAAUCCAAGCUAGUAACUGGCUGGAUUACGAAGAGGCGUGCCCGUAAGACCAAAAAGGUCAAAACGGGAAACAAAGGUAGAGAGCAAGCACCUUCGAAGAUGCCCUACGAAAUAUGAGGUCACAUAUCGAAGAGGGAUUGGGAGGCCUUUGUUGCCAAAAGAACAACUCCCAUAGAAGUUGAAAAGCGUGGUAAAGCUUCUGAUUCUGCAAGAAAAAGGAAGUUUUACCAUCGCUUGGGCCAAAAAACGUACGAUGAGGUCCGAAAAGAGUGGGUGCAUACGGGUUUAUACCCCAAUCAAAGUUCAUGCACGCCCUCAUCUACGACUACCUCCGCAUCCGUGAAUAAUACUGCAGGAGAUCGGGUGCGUGAUUGGUAUUGCGGGCUUCAUUCCCGAGAUGCAAAUGGUAAAUUUACCAUUAAUGAUUCGGGAACGAAGAAAGUUGCUGAUGUUGUGGUGAGUUUUGAAAUAAUUAAUUAUAUUCUUGAUUUGUUUUGUAUUCUUUGGUUUUGAUUUACUUACGAAGGACGUUCUCGCCAAACUAGCCGUCGUGUUUCAGAAGAUGGGAUCACCCAUUGUUGACUUGGCGAACUUGAUUGUCGAGGAUCAGGAAAGUCAACAUGGGGAUCCUAAUGCUUUGGUCGAGCUAACACCCGAGCCCAUUACCCCCGUAGCACCCCAGCCCAUUACUUUCCCUGAAGGGGAAAAACCCGCACCGGAGACCAUAAACUCCGUUGCUCAAAAUUCGGAGCCAACUCCGGAGCCAAUGCUACAGUGCUUUCAACAACCUUCUACUUCCGUUGAUUGCGGCUACUAUACGCUGAAGUACAUGGACGAUAUUAUAAAUCCGUGAAGGAUUUUGGAGUCGAUAAUAUAGAUGUCGUUUUUAUACGACAUUCCGAGGGAAACACGCUCUCUAAGAAGUGGAGAGAUGCGCGAAUUAAAAGACAAGAUUGCCGCGUAUCUUGCUAAUUUUUGUUCUUGAUAAAUUGUAGUUAGUAUAGAU